UACGUAGGGUGCAAGCGUUAAUCGGAAUUACUGGGCGUAAAGCGUGCGCAGGCGGUGAUGUAAGACAGAUGUGAAAUCCCGGGGCUCAACCCCGGAACUGCAUUCGAUACUGGCGGGCUAGAGACCGGAAGAGGUGGGUGGAAUACCCAGUGUAGAGGUGAAAUUCGUAGAUAUUGGGUGGAACACCGGUGGCGAAGGCGGCUCACUGGUCCGGUUCUGACGCUGAGGCGCGAAAGCGUGGGGAGCAAACAGG
rnacentral:rRNA from 1 species